rnacentral:RNase_P_RNA from 1 species
AACGACGGUCAUUCUGUCGCUGCCGAGGUAACUCGGGAGAGGAAAGUCCGGACAACAAAGAGUGCCAUACUUCCUAACGGGACGGCGCCCGAAAGGGUGACAGCGAGUGUCACAGAAAACAACCGCCCCGCGCCUGUCGCAGGGUAAGGGUGAAAACGUGAGGUAAGAGCUCACGCCGUUGGCAGUGAUGUCAAUCGGGGAUAAACCUUAUGGGUUGAAAGACCAAGUAAACCGGGGUUUGAGGGUGGCUCGCCCAACCCGGAGGGUAGGUCGUUAGAGCGUAAAGGCAACAAUACGCCUAGAUAAAUGACAGAACUAGACAGAAUCCGGCUUAUAGACCGUUGUUUUUU